UUUUCGGCGAAGUUAAUGUGCGGUAGCGUGGUUUUUUUUUUCAGUAGGCCGCGCUCCCCUGAUCGGCGUUUGUUCCCCGCGCAGGUCUCGGUGCUGUAUUUCGCCAGGAGCGCUGAGCUGGCGGGGCUGCGCUGCGAGACUCUCUCGGUGCCGCGGCAGAUCACCUCUCUGCAGCUCUGGGAGGAGAUCGUCAAGAUUCACCCAAGGCUUGCUGUCAUCCGGGAUCAGGUGGUUUUUGCUGUUCAGCAGGAGUACGUGCUUCUUGGAGAUCAGCUCCUGGUGCUACAGCCAGGAGACGAGGUUGCCAUCAUCCCACCAAUUAGUGGAGGCUGAAUCUGCCCAGGUUCUGUUAGCUUUUGUAGCGAGCUAUGGAUGAAGGCGAAGAUGUGCCAAAAGAUUUUAUCAAGCUGAAGUCUGAAAAGCUCUCUGUAAAUGAAGUGUCAGAGCUGGUCAUUUCACCAUGCUGUGGGGCAGUAUCUCUGUUCAUUGGUACUACAAGAAAUAAUUUUGAAGGGAAAAAAGUGAUUCACUUGGAGUAUGAAGCAUAUAUGUCAAUGGCAGAGACUGAAAUAAAGAAAAUCUGCAGAGAUGUUAGACAGAAAUGGCCUUCAGUCAAACAUAUUGCAGUGCAUCAUAGACUUGGUGUGGUUCCAGUAACUGAAGCAAGUGUAAUUAUUGCAAUCUCCUCUCCACAUAGAGCAGAAUCCCUUGAAGCUGUAAUGUACUGCAUCAAUACCUUAAAAGCAUCCGUCCCAAUAUGGAAGAAGGAGAUUUAUGAGGGUGAAUAUUCUUGGAAAGAAAACAAGGAAUGCUUUUGGACAAAUUCAGAGAAAUAACUGUACUUUUU